AAUUUUGGACAAUGGGGGAAACCCUGAUCCAGCCAUCCCGCGUGUAUGAUGAAGGCCUUCGGGUUGUAAAGUACUUUUGGCAGGGAAGAAAAGGUAUCGCCCAAUACGGGAUACUGCUGAUGGCUUCUGUAGAUUAGGCUCCGGCUAACUACGUGCCAUAGGCCGCGGUAAUACGUAGGGUGCAAGCGUUAAUCGUAAUUACUGGUCGUAAAGCGUGUGUAGGCGGUUCGGAAUGAAAGAUGUGAAAGCCCAGGGCUCAACCUUGGAACUGCAUUUUUAACUGCCAAGCUAGAGUAUUUCAGAGGUGGGUAGAAUUCCACGUGUAGCAGUGAAAUGCGUAGAUAUGUGAAGGAAUACCGAUGGCGAAGGCAGCCCCCUGGGAUAAUACUGACGCUCAGACACGAAAGCGUGGGGAGCAAACAGG
rnacentral:rRNA from 1 species